GACGAACGCUGGCGGCGUGCUUAACACAUGCAAGUCGAACGGAAAGGCCCUGCUUUUGUGGGGUGCUCGAGAGGCGAACGGGUGAGUAACACGUGAGUAACCUGCCCUUGACUUUGGGAUAACUUCAGGAAACUGGGGCUAAUACCGGAUAGGAGCUCCUGCUGCAUGGUGGGGGUUGGAAAGUUUCGGCGGUUGGGGAUGGACUCGCGGCUUAUCAGCUUGUUGGUGGGGUAGUGGCUUACCAAGGCUUUGACGGGUAGCCGGCCUGAGAGGGUGACCGGCCACAUUGGGGCUGAGAUACGGCCCAGACUCCUACGGGAGGCAGCAGUGGGGAAUAUUGCACAAUGGGCGGAAGCCUGAUGCAGCAACGCCGCGUGCGGGAUGACGGCCUUCGGGUUGUAAACCGCUUUCGCCUGUGACGAAGCGUGAGUGACGGUAAUGGGUAAAGAAGCACCGGCUAACUACGUG
rnacentral:rRNA from 1 species